rnacentral:lncRNA from 1 species
CAUGUCCUGCACGACAUUGUAGGAUUUAGGGAUUUAGUUCUCACAACAAUUUGACCAGGUACCUAUUAUCCUUCCCAUUUUACAGUUUAGGGAACUAAAGCCCAGAGACGUUGAGGAACUUGCCCAAGGCUGAACAGCUACUCACAAGUGGGGGUGAGAUUUAAGCACCUUGCUGCUGUCGGUGAGGAUGCUCCGUGGUGAGCUCUGGCGAAUAUGUCCACCUCCUCUCGCAUGUACCUAUAUGCUUCUUUGAAGUUCAUCUGUUACGACAGUGCUGAGCCGUGGCAGCCACCUCCAGAGUGUGGUUCCAGCCGUGAAGACGUAGGUCUGCAGAGCGAAGCACUGCCGGCUGUACGUGUGAACGUCCUUUGCUGCUCGGGCAUGCUGAUUCCAUGGAAGAGGCAGGUUCUGCUUAGGUCCAGGGAGCAUUGUGAGGGACAGCUGAUGACAGGUAUGAUCAGACUUCCACGUUCACCUGCAGUCUGGAGGGGACACGAGGGAAACGCAGAGCCAUUAGGAAGAAACAUGGUGGCUGCCACACCUCCUGGGUAAGCUCUUCCCUCCUCUCUGGCAGCUCACAGAUUUGAUGUUUAAUUAUUUUUCACAUGGGGAUUGCUGGAUCUCUGUACAUGCGCAGUGUACCAGAUGUUUGUUGGUGUCCUGCAGGGCCUGGCACUGGGCUGAGG